rnacentral:rRNA from 1 species
AUCAGACCCACGUACACGAUGGUCUCGGGGCAGGAACGGGGCUCCAGCGCAAGGGAAAGGCUUCGCCAUGGCUAGCUACUUUCCUCACAUCUGGCUCCCACGACGUCCGUGGAGCAGCACCGCACCAGUUCAUAUCUCGGGCUUGGAAUUUCUACACGAGAAUCACAGGGUCGGAGAAGUAUCCAAGGAAGGACACCCCCCUACCGAUGUGUUGUCCCAGCACAAUUUAUGUGUAGAUGUGUUCCUCUGAAAACCCAGACAAUAAAUCGUGUUUCAUCACACGGUCCAUCAACUUGAUCGCCCAAUGGCAACGAGAUAAACCUGAACACCUUAGCUCUAGACGGUGUCAAAGUUAUGGAAGAACGCUUAGCGGAUGAGCCAAGUGCCAUAUGCAACUGGUGAUUUGAACUCGAAGGGCUUAGUUCUCAAGGAAACAAGUAAGUACAUUGUUGAUUGCUUUUCGC